UUGGCGCUGGUUCUCCAGCGCCCGAGAGGAAAGUCCGAGCUCCAUAGGACAUGACGCCGGGUAACGCCCGGGAGCCGUAAGGCUACAGACAGUGCAACAGAAAGCAAACCGCCUGCUUUGCAGGUAAGGGUGAAAUGGUGGGGUAAGAGCCCACCGGGAGCGCAGCGAUGCGCUUCGCAUGGUAAACCUCGUCAGGAGCAAGGCCAAGAAGCGUGUGGGUUGUCCGUCCAAUACACGCGGGUAGGCUGCUAGAUGCUGCCGGCAACGGCAGUGCCAGAUAGAUGAUUGCAUAAACAGAACUCGGCUUAUGAAGGGCC
rnacentral:RNase_P_RNA from 1 species